AGGUGAAGGAACAGUGUUUAUUCCAAGCAGAGAUCAAACCAGGUAGUCAAUCCGUGUAGCAAACAAAUCCAGUAGGAGCAGGCAAAAGGGAAGGUCCAAAGUCACAUUUACAUUUACAGUCCAAACAGGCAGGUCGAUACACGAGCAGGCAGGUUCAGAAUCAGAAUUAGAAGACACGGGAGAGCUAGGUAACACACUAGACAAUCUGGCAAAGAACUGAGGGAAAUGGACCGGUCCAUAUACUGAGGGGCUGAUUAGCUGAUGAGGAGCAGAAAAGCUCUGAGCAGAUGAAGUUCCAGAUCAGCAGAACCAGAACAGUGGAUUGGUUCUGGUGGUGGACCAUGCGGAGUACAAGAAGUACGGCAGCAGGAAGACUGUGGCAGCGAGGAUGCUUGCGGUGGUGAACCACGUGGACGAGGUACCAGCUGGGGGCAGCAGGGCCCUCCGGCCCAGACUGUAUGAGGGGCUUUCUACUGCUCACUGUUUAGCUGUUGACAGUUAUUAAUCCACAGCGUUUUACAGUGAAUUCAGAAACGGGAUUAUGGAUUGACUUGAACUACAAGUAAACUGGCGUCCGGGGGCUACGGGUUGAGGAGGUGGACCGGUAACCGGAGGGUGACCGGGUCGAGUCCCGACCGGUAGGCGAGCUAUGUGGACGGGGGGAGUAGUUGUGCAGCACUCUCCUACGUCCUCGUCCACGGAUGAGGUGCCCUUCAGCAAGGCACCUGAAGCCCCCACCUGCUCCCCGGGCGCUGCACCACGGCUGCCCACUGCUCCGGAGUGCCGGUGUACCCCCAUGUGUGUGGACCUCUGUGUG